CAGUUUUGGCGGAGCCAUCCUUGGGAUACCACCCUUGUAGUACUGGGACUCUAACCAUAGGCCAUGAAUCUGGUCUUGGGACACUGUCAGGUGGGCAGUUUGACUGGGGCGGUCGCCUCCCAAAAGGUAACGGAGGCGCUCAAAGGUUCUCUCAGUACGGUCGGAAAUCGUACGUAGAGUGUAAAGGCAAAAGAGAGCUUGAUUGCAAGACAUACAGGUCGAGCAAGGAUGAAAAUCGGACUUAGUGAUCCGGUGGUUCUGCGUGGAAGGGCCAUCGCUCAACGGAUAAAAGCUACCCUGGGGAUAACAGGCUUAUCUCCCCCAAGAGUCCACAUCGACGGGGAGGUUUGGCACCUCGAUGUCGGCUCAUCACAUCCUGGGGCUGUAGUAGGUCCCAAGGGUUGGGCUGUUCGCCCAUUAAAGUGGUACGCGAGCUGGGUUCAGAACGUCGUGAGACAGUUCGGUCCCUAUCCGUCGCAGGCGUAGGAAAUUUGAGAAGACCUGUCCUUAGUACGAGAGGACCGGGAUGGACGUACCUCUGGUGUACCAGUUGUCCUGCCAAGGGCAUGGCUGGGUAGCUAUGUACGGAAUGGAUAAGCGCUGAAAGCAUCUAAGCGCGAAGCCAACUUCAAGAUAAGAUUUCCCACCGCAAGGGUAAGACCCCAGAAAGACUAUCUGGUUGAUAGGUCGAAGGUGUAAGUGCAGCAAUGUAUUUAGCUUAUCGAUACUAAUAGGUCGAGGACUUGACCAAU
rnacentral:rRNA from 1 species